rnacentral:rRNA from 1 species
CACGUAGUUAGCCGGGGCUUCUUGGUCAGGUACCGUCUUGCUUCUUCCCUGCUGAUAGAGCUUUACAUACCGGAGUACUCCUUCACUCACGCGGCGUCGCUGCAUCAGGGUUCCCCCCAUUGUGCAAUAUCCCCCACUGCUGCCUCCCGUAGGAGUUUGGGCCGUGUCUCAGUCCCAAUGUGGCCGGUCACCCUCUCAGGUCGGCUACCGAUCGUCGCCUUGGUGGGCCGUUACCCCACCAACCAGCUGAUCGGACGCGGGUCCAUCCUAUACCACCGGAGUUUUCCACACUGUCCCAUGCGGGACUGUGCGCUCAUGCGGUAUUAGCAGCCAUUUCUAGCUGUUAUCCCCCAGUAUAGGGCAGGUUACCCACGCGUUACUCACCCGUCCGCCACUAAGUCAUGCCCCUCUCCGCCCGAAGGCCUCGAGGGACGUGCUUCGUUCGACUUGCAUGUGUUAGGCACGCCGCCAGCGUUCAUCCUGAGCCAGGAUCAAACUCU